GGGCGGAUGGUUUAGUGGUAUAAUUUUCCCUUAGCAUAAUUUGACCUUCGAGUCAGAGAUGAUCGCUUGGGAAAGGUCCGGGGUUCGAUUCCCCGUUCGUCCA